UGGUCUAGUCUAAUAUGAAUAGAAUCUCAAAAACUAAAAUAAUAUUAAAUAAAUACAUUUAUUUGUAUUUAAAUAAAUGAAAGUCUUAGUGGUUUGUGGCAUUAAUAUACUAGAUAUUUGAGAUCAGGGAUUGGUACAAUGUUACUUUUCAUCAAUUGAAUAUUAAAGUUAAGAUUACAGUUCAUGAAUGAUCUAUAAUUUUCUUAAUCUGCAUGUAUAAUUACAUGCACUGUACAAAACCAAAAAUACAAAUGAAUAUAGAAAAAGCACCUUUUUUUGGGGGGGGGGGUAUUUUUUUAAAAUUUAAAUGUUAAAAUUAAUGAAAGAAUGGCAUUAAAGUUGCAAUAGAAGAAAUUUUAAUUUUUCAUUUGAUCUCAGAUUUCUAAAGGUUGUGGAGCAGUAAUUUAAUAUUAUAUACAAAGAUCAUUUUUGAUAUUGUUUAGUUGAUGUUUUAUUUACAUGUUAUUGAAAUUCCAAUAAAUGUGUACAAGUGUAUUGUACAUAUCAUUGUCUAAUACAAGG
rnacentral:sRNA from 1 species